rnacentral:rRNA from 1 species
CUUCCGUAGGGUGAACCUGCGGAAGGAUCAUUACAGAAUGAAAAGUGCUUAACUGCAUUUUUUCUUACACAUGUGUUUUUCUUUUUUUGAAAACUUUGCUUUGGUAGGCCUUCUAUAUGGGGCCUGCCAGAGAUUAAACUCAACCAAAUUUUAUUUAAUGUCAACCGAUUAUUUAAUAGUCAAAACUUUCAACAACGGAUCUCUUGGUUCUCGCAUCGAUGAAGAACGCAGCGAAAUGCGAUAAGUAAUAUGAAUUGCAGAUAUUCGUGAAUCAUCGAAUCUUUGAACGCACAUUGCGCCCUUUGGUAUUCCAAAGGGCAUGCCUGUUUGAGCGUCAUUUCUCCCUCAAACCCUCGGGUUUGGUGUUGAGCGAUACGCUGGGUUUGCUUGAAAGAAAGGCGGAGUAUAAACUAAUGGAUAGGUUUUUUCCACUCAUUGGUACAAACUCCAAAACUUCUUCCAAAUUCGACCUCAAAUCAGGUAGGACUACCCGCUGAACUUAAGCAUAUCAAUAAGCGGAGGAA